rnacentral:rRNA from 1 species
GAUGAACGCUGGCGGCGUGCCUAAUACAUGCAAGUCGAGCGAACAGGCGAGGAGCUUGCUCCUCUGACGUUAGCGGCGGACGGGUGAGUAACACGUGGAUAACCUACCUAUAAGACUGGGAUAACUUCGGGAAACCGGAGCUAAUACCGGAUAAUAUAUUGAACCGCAUGGUUCAAUAGUGAAAGACGGUUUUGCUGUCACUUAUAGAUGGAUCCGCGCCGCAUUAGCUAGUUGGUAAGGUAACGGCUUACCAAGGCAACGAUGCGUAGCCGACCUGAGAGGGUGAUCGGCCACACUGGAACUGAGACACGGUCCAGACUCCUACGGGAGGCAGCAGUAGGGAAUCUUCCGCAAUGGGCGAAAGCGUGACGGAGCAAAGCCGCGUGAGUGAUGAAGGUCUUCGGAUCGUAAAACUCUGUUAUUAGGGAAGAACAAAUGUGUAAGUAACUAUGCACGUCUUGACGGUACCUAAUCAGAAAGCCACGGCUAACUACGUG